CCGUUCAACUCGUUCCUCCGCCGAGAGGGACUACGGGAG
rfam:Mesorhizobium ciceri biovar biserrulae WSM1271, complete genome.